rnacentral:sRNA from 1 species
ACCACCCCCAACCCCCUCCUCUAAAGAGGAGGGGGCUAUGAACCCGCUCUCCCCCUCCUCUUCAGAGGAGGGGGUCGGGGGGGUG